GUGCUCACUUCAGUGGUACAUAUACUAAAAUUGGAACAACACAGAAAUGAUUCACAUGGCCCCUGCACAAGGAUGACACACAAAUUUGUAAGCAUUCCGUAUUUUU
rnacentral:snRNA from 1 species